CCAGACUCCUACGGGAGGCAGCAGUGAGGAAUAUUGGUCAAUGGACGUAAGUCUGAACCAGCCAAGUAGCGUGCAGGAUUGACGGCCCUAUGGGUUGUAAACUGCUUUUGUUGGGGAGUAAAGUGAGGCACGCGUGCCUUUUUGCAUUUACCCUUCGAAUAAGGACCGGCUAAUUCCGUGCCAGCAGCCGCGGUAAUACGGAAGGUCCAGGCGUUAUCCGGAUUUAUUGGGUUUAAAGGGAGUGUAGGCGGUCUGUUAAGCGUGUUGUGAAAUUUAGGUGCUCAACAUCUACCUUGCAGCGCGAACUGGCGGACUUGAGUGCACGCAACGUAUGCGGAAUUCAUGGUGUAGCGGUGAAAUGCUUAGAUAUCAUGACGAACUCCGAUUGCGAAGGCAGCGUACGGGAGUGUUACUGACGCUUAAGCUCGAAGGUGCGGGUAUCGAACAGGAUUAGAUACCCUGGUAGUCCGCACGGUAAACGAUGGAUGCCCGCUGUUAGCGCCUGGCGUUAGCGGCUAAGCGAAAGCAUUAAGCAUCCCACCUGGGGAGUACGCCGGCAACGGUGAAACUCAAAGGAAUUGACGGGGGCCCGCACAAG
rnacentral:rRNA from 1 species